rnacentral:rRNA from 1 species
UAUGUGAUCGUCUCUCGCAUAUCAAUAAGCGGAGGAAAAGAAACUAACAAGGAUUCCCCUAGUAAUGGCGAGUGAAGCGGGAAGAGCUCAAAUUUGAAAUCUUAAAGGGGUUUCCCUUUACGAAUUGUAGUUUAAAGAAGUGUUUUCUGUUGAGGUUUUGGUAAAAGUUCUUUGGAAUAGGACAUCAUAGAGGGUGAGAAUCCCGUAUUUGACCUUUACUUUCAACUUUGUGAUACACUUUCAAAGAGUCGGAUUGUUUGGGAAUGCUAGUCCAAAAUGGGUGGUAAAUUUCAUCUAAAGCUAAAUAUUGGCGAGAGACCGAUAGCGAACAAGUACCGUGAGGGAAAGAUGAAAAGAACUUUGAAAAGAGAGUUAAACAGUACGUGAAAUUGUCAAAAGGGAAGCGUUUGACACCAGUGUUGUUUUUCCUGAAAAUCAAUUAAAGAACUGUUUAUGCUAAGCUUGUUUAGACUUUAUCAGCUAAUCUGUUUAGUUUUGAGCUUUUCUUUAAUGCACUUUUCAGUUAACAAGUCAACAUCAAUUUCUUUUGCUGUAAAAAAGCUUGAGGAAGGUGGCUUGAGAUUCGUCUUAAGUGUUUAUAGCCUCUUGCCUAUGCAGUCGGAGAGAUUGAGGUCUGCAGCGUAGAUCCUUCGGGGCUAAAUGCAUUUGUGCUAAGUUAUAGCAUUUUAUAGACAACUUGUUGACUAUGAUUUGUCUUGUAGCUUACUCGCUUAUGUUAUUUUACCUACGCUUAGGAUGUUGAUAUGCAUGACUGAUAU